UCCCUUUGCCAGAGCGCGCGGCUGCGGCCCGCGCCGUGCCCACCUACGUACUGCGCGGCAAGCGUUCCAAGGCCUCCCAUGCCCACGCGGCCACGCCGGCACGCCAUUCUCCACACUGGACCUUCCACUGAGCUAUGCUCCUCCUCACAAGGCUGGCCAAACCCGGAUGCUGCUCGCCGACGACCUCCCCGCGUGUCGCCCAUGCCGCUCUCGGCUGGAGCCGGUUCUUCCACACCGGCGACGGGGACGCGCACAAUGUGUUCUGUGCGAUGCCUACACCGGACCACAGGCAGUGCAGUGCGCUGCUCAGGGCGCGCACCGCGAGCGGGGAUCACUACGGGUCCGUCUGCCUCGUCCGCGGGAUGCUUGGGCGGGGCCUCCGGCCCGACAGGCUCGCGGUCGCCGCGGCGAUCAAGUCGGCGUCGGCGCUCCCCGACGGCGGCGCCCUGGGGAGGUGCCUCCACGGGUUUGUUGUCAGGCUCGGGAACGCUGCUGGCGUGGCGGUGGCGAAGGCAAUCAUGGACAUGUACGGGAGGCGUGGGGCUCUCACGGACGCCCGCCUAGUGUUUGAUGAAAUGGGCUGCCGUGACGCGGUAUGUUGGAACAUCCUGAUCACUGGGUCCUCCCGGGCUGGGUUUUUUGACGACGUAUUUGCCUUGUUCCGGUUGAUGCUUGCGUGUGGUGUAGAUGAGAGCAUGCCGACUGCGGUGACGGUGGCUGUCGUCAUUCCGGUAUGUGCAAAGCUGAGAGAUUUAACGGCUGGGAGGAGUGUCCAUGGCUAUGUCGUCAAGACUGGGUUGGAAUCUGAUACUUUGUGUGGGAAUGCAUUGGUGUCCAUGUAUGCAAAAUGUGGUGCAGGUGGAAUCACGGAUGAUGUGCAUAGAGCCUUUUCCUCAAUUCAUUGCAAGGAUGUUGUUUCAUGGAAUUCGAUCAUCGCAGGAUACUCCGAGAAUGGGUUGUUCGAAGAAGCACUCGUACUAUUUGGUCAGAUGAUCUCAGAGGAAUGUCUUCCGAAUUAUUCAACCGUAGCUAAUAUUCUUCCUGUAUGCUCGUUCAUGGAGUAUGGGAGGAACUAUGGCAAAGAAGUGCAUGCUUUCGUGUUCCGGUUUGGCUUAUAUAUGGACAUAUCUGUUUGUAAUGCGCUGAUGACUCAUUAUUCCAAGGUGUGUGAAAUGAGGGUUGUGGAAUCAAUAUUCAGAAGUAUGAAUUCAAGAGAUAUUGUUACGUGGAACACAAUAAUUGCUGGAUAUGUGAUAAACGGGUGCCACUCUAGGGUGUUAGGCCUGUUCCGUAGGCUUCUGUCGACAGGAAUGACCCCUGAUUCUGUUUCUUUCAUUAGUCUGCUCACUGUUUGUGCUCAAGUAGGAGAUGUGAAAGGAGGGAUGGCAGUUCAUGGUUAUAUUUAUCGGCAUCCAGUACUUCGUCAGGAAACAUCCUUAAUGAAUGCUCUUAUUAGUUUCUAUAACCAGUGUGGCAGAUUUGAUGAUGCUCUUCAUUCUUUCGCUGAUAUUUUGGACAAGGAUUCAGUAUCAUGGAAUGCAAUUCUAUCGGGCUGUGCUAACAGAAAAGAAUAUAUUGGGGAGUUCACCAAACUCUUCUGUGAAAUGUGCCGUAAGGUAAGUCGUUGUGACCCAGUCACAAUCUUAAAUUUUAUCCGCAUGAGUACCUUCUGUGGUGCUAAGAGGGUUCGGGAAGCUCAUGGAUAUUCCUUGCGAGUUGGUUAUAUUGGGGAAAUGUCAGUUGCAAAUGCUAUUCUCGAUGCAUAUGCAAAGUGUGGUCACCCGCAGGAUGCAGAUGUACUUUUCAGAAACCUAGCCGGUCAGAACAUUGUAACAGGCAAUACUAUGAUCUCUUGCUACCUGAAAAAUAACAGUGUAGAGCAAGCUGAGAAAAUCUUCAACCAAAUGUCUGAGAAAGAUAGGACGACAUGGAAUCUCAUGAUCCAGUUGUAUGCACGUAAUAAUAUGUGUGAUCAAGCUUUCAGUCUGUUUCAUCAGUUGCAGUGUCCCGAUACUGUUGGCAUUACAAAUAUUCUCCUGGCUUGCAUCCAUUUGAGUUCGGUACAACUGGUGAAACAAUGUCAUGGCUACAUGCUCAGAGCAUCCCUAGAAGACAUCCAUCUUGAAGGAGCACUUCUUGAUGCAUAUUCAAAGUGCGGGAACAUAACCAAUGCCUACAACCUAUUUCGAGUUAGCCCUAACAAGGACCUUGUCACAUUCACUGCCAUGAUAGGAGGCUAUGCAAUGCAUGGAAUGGCAGAAGAGGCAGUAGAGCUGUUUUCUGAAAUGCUUACACUUGACAUUAAGCCAGACCAUGUAGCUCUAACUGCUCUGCUGUCAGCUUGCAGUCAUGCUGGGCUUGUUGAUGCAGGAAUCAAGGUUUUCAAGUUCGCCAGAGAUAUUUACAGAGUUGUACCGACAGCAGAGCACUAUACAUGCAUGGUUGACCUUCUUGCCCGCGGCGGGCGUCUCCAAGACGCAUACAAUUUUGCGUUGGAUAUGCCCCCUCACAUGGCCAAUGCAAAUGUAUGGGGCUCUCUGCUAGGAGCAUGCAAAGUCCACUGAGAGGUCAGAAUCGGCCAGCUCGCAGCUGAUCACUUGUUCUCCAUGGAGGUUGGGGACAUUGGGAACUAUAUCAUCGUGUCAAAUAUCUAUGCAGCUGAUGAGAAAUGGGACGGUGUGGAGCAUGUCAGGAAAUUGAUGAAGUCCAAGGAUAUGAAGAAACCUGCAGGAUGUAGCCAGGCACUUGUUUAUAGGCAGUGAUGUUAAGCACCAAGAUAGUUCUUUCAUCUCCGACAUGGUUGGAAGUUUGUAUCAGCAAAUCAAAGAUACACGAGCAGGCAAAGAACAUUCGAUUGCAAGUUUCAACAUUAGUGCAAUUGAUCUGGUCACAGGGUUACAGAAACUUGAAUUGGAGUUUUUCUUCUCAAACUUGUCUUUGCUAGCUCUUCCCAUCCAUAGUAUUUAUCUUUCUGAGAGUUGAGACAAAUAAGUAACAUGGCUCCGGACCACAGCAUGCAUCUUGGAGUUGAAGCAAGCAGCAAAUAUAUCAUGUGCCAUCUACAUUGGAACUCUCUUUGGCUUUCUACCAAGUACCAACCAAGGUUCACUACUCUGGAAGUCUUGGUGACAGUUGCUGACUCACUGGCAUUAGGAAUUUCAGCAAUGUUAUCUUUUUGGGGAAAUCUGAUUGGAGGUCUGUUAACAGCGUCAGACAGGCCGAUGAAACAACACAAGUAGCAGGAGUGAGGGUGAGAGCUCUCGUUCGGCUCGCUUGGUGUUGAUCGAAGAUAUCUGGGAAAACAAGAUUGAUGAAGAUUUUGCAUGUGUACUGCACCGGGUGAAGAUCCUCUGUAGUAGUGCACGGUACAGUAGUGCAGAUGACGUGUGGGGUCAGGUCUACUGCACCCAUUCUCUUUGACAAUGCAACACUUUUUCUGCUCAUCAUUAGGUUUUUUUUUCUUUGAGGGGGACAUAAUCAUCAGGUGGCUAAUGGGAAAAAAAAGAAGACUGCAUACACGCUGCAUUCCCAGCCCGUCACGGCCCAGAAGACCCAGGCCCAACCGCGUUUGAGGAGUCAACUACUUGCCGGGAACGGAAACGCGCACCGAGUCCAGCACGAAAUUUCCUUGCUAUGGCACGCGCUUUUUACCUCCACCGUCCGAAUCGGAAAGAGGACACCUCACGUCAACUACCCUAUAUAAUAACGACCUUCACCACGAGUUUGUUCCCCUUCGCGACCUCGCGGACAGAAGAACAAGAGAAAAAAAGAAGAUUCCCCCGAGUUCGCUCUCCGGAAUCCUCCGCCCGCCGCCGCCGCCGCUUUUUAUGGAUUUCGGAAGGAACGCUGCAGCCCGGACUUGUGAAGCGAAGAGCAGCGUCUCCCCCCGCCCCUCCGGUCUGCCCUUCUCACCGGCCCCCUCCACGCCGUGGUUCCGCGAGCUGUGGGUCAACGCCCCCAAAUAACACCCUUCUGCAGAGGUGGAAAUUGGUGGAUUUCUUGAUUGGUUGAAGGAAGUAAAACAAAGGGGACCCACUACCCACCGUCCUUUCGGCAAGCGUUGGGGUCUUAUCCAUUUAAACUAAAAUAAGGUCAUUCACAAGAAGGCUGUCAACUGUAAACA